UUUUAAUACCAAAUAAGUUACUGUUUAUAACAUUUGAUCCCUGAAUUUGUACCUUUUGCAGAUUAUACUUUGUUCAUCCAUGAAACAUUUCCAUGGAUCUAAGAAAGAUACAAUCCUUGGAGAGCUAUAUAAAUCUUACUCUGAGUUAUGCAAAUCAUCACUGAUUCCCCCAACAGGAAUCUUGGAAUUCUCAAACAUGUGCAGAGUGCUUAAUGACCAGGGGCUAAUUAAACUAGGACCAUCACGAGAGGAUAAAUUGAAAAGGGUAACACUAAAAGUUAACAAGGCUGAUAUUACUUUUGCAUUGC